AUUGAACGCUGGCGGCAUGCCUUACAAUGCAAGUCGAACGGUAACAGGUCUUCGGAUGCUGACGAGUGGCGAACGGGUGAGUAAUACAUCGGAACGUGCCCGAUCGUGGGGGAUAACGAAGCGAAAGCUUUGCUAAUACCGCAUACGAUCUACGGAUGAAAGCAGGGGACCGCAAGGCCUUGCGCGAACGGAGCGGCCGAUGGCAGAUUAGGUAGUUGGUGGGAUAAAAGCUUACCAAGCCGACGAUCUGUAGCUGGUCUGAGAGGACGACCAGCCACACUGGGACUGAGACACGGCCCAGACUCCUACGGGAGGCAGCAGUGGGGAAUUUUGGACAAUGGGCGAAAGCCUGAUCCAGCCAUGCCGCGUGCAGGAUGAAGGCCUUCGGGUUGUAAACUGCUUUUGUACGGAACGAAAAGACUCUGGUUAAUACCUGGGGUCCAUGACGGUACCGUAAGAAUAAGCACCGGCUAACUACGUGCCAGCAGCCGCGGUAAUACGUAGGGUGCAAGCGUUAAUCGGAAUUACUGGGCGUAAAGCGUGCGCAGGCGGUUAUAUAAGACAGAUGUGAAAUCCCCGGGCUCAACCUGGGAACUGCAUUUGUGACUGUAUAGCUAGAGUACGGCAGAGGGGGAUGGAAUUCCGCGUGUAGCAGUGAAAUGCGUAGAUAUGCGGAGGAACACCGAUGGCGAAGGCAAUUCCCUGGGCCUGUACUGACGCUCAUGCACGAAAGCGUGGGGAGCAAACAGG
rnacentral:rRNA from 1 species